UUACAGAACUAUACAGGCUAUUGAAAAAUAGUAUAGCUUCCAUAGCAAUUAAAACCUUAAACCACAUGAUAACAACAAAGUUUUUUAAAGCAGACAACAGUACCUACUGUUUUAAUUUUGUCACAUAUGUAAUAAAAUAUAUUCAUCUGAGUGAUAGUUCAAAGAUAUUGCGAUACAGUUCAAUGGUGUUUCAGUGAUAAUUUCGAAACAAUUUCUGAAUUUUGAUUGCAGCCAAAAAAUGAAAUAUAGUGCAUAUUUCAUUGACUAUCAAUACAGUAAAAUACAGCCAUUUCUCGCAGAAAUUAAUACGAAAACCCCAAGUGACAAAAAUGGCUGGCGUUUUUAGUUGAUUUUCUAUUAAAAUUAUUCAUAUUAAAAAUAAGUAUUUCGUAUGUGACCUAUGCACACACAUGACUGCAUAAUUUUUUCAUGUAUAUUAUCAGUUAACUAGAAAAUACAUGCAUGGAGAAACCCUCGCCUUGCUGACAAAACCAUUAUAUUUACCAAACAUGAAGUAUUUAAAGUAUAGCUGUCAUGGUAACACGAUAAUUUCAUUAAGAAUAUUUUUUAAAAUUGAAAAAUUUCCUAAAAUAUCACUUUUAAUUACAAAAUUAUCAAUCUCCAAACAAAUAUGUUAGGUAUGUUAUUAUACGUAAUAUUAG